rnacentral:rRNA from 1 species
UACGGAGGGUGCAAGCGUUAAUCGGAAUUACUGGGCGUAAAGCGUGCGUAGACGGUUACAUAAGUCGGGUGUGAAAGCCCCGGGCUCAACCUGGGAAUUGCAUUCGAGACUGCGUAGCUAGGGUGCGGAAGAGGGAAGCGGAAUUUCCGGUGUAGCGGUGAAAUACGUAGAGAUUGGGAAGAACACCAGUGGCGAAGGCGGCUAUCUGGACGGUUUCUGACGCUAAGACGCGAAAAGCGUGGGGAGCAAACAGG